AUGAGGAGCCUGGCCACCGGAGAGCUGCUCCACGGCAUACCCAUCGACAUAGGCAGCGUCAACGGGAUCACCGGUAGGCGUGGUGACGCCGAGGUGUUCGUUGAGUACUCGAGCUUCCUCACUCCGGGGAUCGUCUACAGGUGUGAUCUCAGCUCCAGGGCUCCUAAGAUGAGCAUAUACAGAGAGAUCACCGUCCCGGGCUUCGAUCGCACGGAUUUCGAAGAAAAGCAGGUGUUUUACCCGAGCAAGGACGGGACCAAGAUCCCGAUGUUCGUGGUGUCGAGGAAGAAGAUCGUCCUGGACGGGUCACACCCGGCGCUGCUCUUUGGCUACGGCGGGUUCGGCAUGAGCAUGACGCCGCAGUUCAGCGCGGCCCGCGUCAUCCUCAUGAGGAACCUGGGGUUCGUGACGUGCGUCGCCAACAUCCGGGGCGGCGGCGAGUACGGGGAGGACUGGCACAAGGCCGGCUCGCUCGCGAACAAGCAGAACUGCUUCGACGACUUCAUCGCCGCCAGCGAGUUCCUCGUGUCCGCUGGGUACACGAGCCCGAGCCGGCUGUGCAUCGAAGGCGGGAGCAACGGCGGCCUCUUGGUCGCCGCCUGCAUCAACCAGCGGCCCGGUCUCUUUGGCUGUGCUCUGGCUCACGUCGGUGUCAUGGACAUGCUUCGGUUCCACAAGUUCACCAUAGGUUUUGCCUGUCGCCUCUCCUCUGAAAACCGCAUCCUGUUUGUGUCCACAGUGGUCACCUUGUGA
rnacentral:rRNA from 1 species